rnacentral:tRNA from 1 species
CGGGGUGUGGCGCAGUUGGCUAGCGCGCAGCGUUCGGGACGCUGAGGUCGUGGGUUCAAGUCCCACCACCCCGACCA